GAGACACUAGUCCAACUAAGACAACC
rnacentral:tRNA from 1 species